rnacentral:rRNA from 1 species
CCUUUCAGCUUGUUGGUGGGGUAAUGCCCUACCAAGGCGACGACGGGUAGCCGGCCUGAGAGGGUGACCGGCCACACUGGGACUGAGACACGGCCCAGACUCCUACGGGAGGCAGCAGUGGGGAAUAUUGCACAAUGGGCGAAAGCCUGAUGCAGCGACGCCGCGUGAGGGAUGACGGCCUUCGGGUUGUAAACCUCUUUCGCCAGGGACGAAGCGCAAGUGACGGUACCUGGAUAAGAAGCACCGGCUAACUACGUGCCAGCAGCCGCGGUAAUACGUAGGGUGCAAGCGUUGUCCGGAAUUAUUGGGCGUAAAGAGCUCGUAGGCGGUUUGUCGCGUCGGCUGUGAAAUCUGGAGGCUUAACCUUCAGCGUGCAGUCGAUACGGGCAGACUUGAGUUCGGUAGGGGAGACUGGAAUUCCUGGUGUAGCGGUGAAAUGCGCAGAUAUCAGGAGGAACACCGGUGGCGAAGGCGGGUCUCUGGGCCGAUACUGACGCUGAGGAGCGAAAGCGUGGGGAGCGAACAGGAUUAGAUACCCUGGUAGUCCACGCUGUAAACGUUGGGCGCUAGGUGUGGGCGACAUCCACGUUGUCCGUGCCGUAGCUAACGCAUUAAGCGCCCCGCCUGGGGAGUACGGA